rnacentral:rRNA from 1 species
AUUUAACGCUGGCGGCAGGCUUAACACAUGCAAGUCGAGCGAGCGGCGGACGGGUGAGUAAUGUCUGGGAAACUGCCUGCUGGCGGGGGAUAACUACUGGAAACGGUAGCUAAUACCUCAUACCAUCAGAUGUGCCCAGAUGGUAUUGGCUAGUAGGUGGGGUAAUGGCUCACCUCGGCGACGAUCCCUAGCUGGUCUGAGAGGAUGACCAGCGACACUGGAACUGAGACACGGUCAAGAAUCGGACGGUAGGCAGCAGUGGGGAAUAUUGCACAAUGGGCGCAAGCCUGAUGCAGCCAGGCCGCGUGUGUGAAGAAGGCCUUCGGGUUGUAAAGCACUUUCAGCGAGGAGGCGGUACUCGCAGAAGAAGCACCGGCUAACUCCGUGCCAGCAGCCGCGGUAAUUC